rnacentral:tRNA from 1 species
GUUCCCGUAGCACAAUAGGAUAAUGCAGUGCCCUCCUAAGGCAAAGAUUUCCAGUUCGAUUCUGGACGGGAACACCA